CCUACGGGUGGCAGCAGUGGGGAAUCUUGCGCAAUGGGCGAAAGCCUGACGCAGCGACGCCGCGUGAGGGAUGAAGGUCUUCGGAUCGUAAACCUCUGUCAGCAGGGAAGAACGGUCACUGUGCUAAUCAGCCGUGAAUUGACGGUACCUGCAAAGGAAGCACCGGCUAACUCCGUGCCAGCAGCCGCGGUAAUACGGAGGGGGCGAGCGUUAAUCGGAAUUACUGGGCGUAAGGGGCGCGUAGGCGGGAUGUCAAGUCCAGGGUGAAAUCUCCGCGCUCAACGUGGACAGUGCCUGGGAAACUGGCAGACUGGGGUGUGUGGGAGGAUAGUGGAAUUCCAGGUGUAGGAGAGAAAUCCGUAGAAAUCGGGAGGAACAGCAGUGGGGAGGGCGACUAUCUGGCACAUGACUGACGCUGAGGAGCGAAAGCGUGGGGAGCAAACAGGAUUAGAUACCCCAGUAGUC
rnacentral:rRNA from 1 species